rnacentral:rRNA from 1 species
AUGGGUGCUGCAGCAGGGAAAGCCGUCGAAGACCAGGCAUCUGCUGGUGGGGCAACAACGCGAGCGGAGGACCGGAUGGCCGUCGCUGAGCGCGUCAUCCUCGAGUUGGAGCGCCGCCGCUCAUCCGGCGACGGCUCCGACGUCGGCAUAUGGGACGCGCAGGCGACCUGCACCAACUCGGGCCUCCUCGCCGCGGUCGACGAGAUAGUCUUCCUCAAGGAGAUGCACGCGUUCCCCACGGCCUCCGCCGCCGGCCGCCGCAUGGACGGCGCCCUCCGGGCCGCCAUGUCGUGCCUCAUGGAGGAGUUCCUCAGCCUCAGGGUGUGGGACGGUUCCCAGCUCGAAGGCAGGAGCGGCCUCCGCUUCGCCGUCGACAAGCUCUCCGUUUCCGUGGCAGCGGCCCGUGGCGCGUCGUCGUCGUUCGCCUUCCUAACCGGCGGCAGCACGGCCAGCACGGUGAGAACCAGCACGGCCGAGUUGAGCUCCGGCACCGUCGACGAGCUGUACGCGUCCGGCUCCGGGAGCCAGCCGGCCGGGCCGGAUGUCUUCUCGGACGGGGAGUUUCCGGAUGAGCUCGACCUGAUCUGCCCGGCGAGCUUGUCCAUCCUCCAUGAGAUCUCACUGCGUGUCAUCCGUGCUGGCUACACGAAGGAGCUUCUCCACACGUUCGCCAACGCUCCCUGCGAAGUUUUAGACAGGUUCUUGUCGAUUCUCCAAAUCCAAGUAGGAUGCUCUCCAGAGAUCGAGACCGACGAGUCGAUCAGCUAUGAGAACGCCGAGUGGUGGACAGCGGAGGACAUGAUCCGGCGGUGGAUCCUGGCGACCAAGCUGGUGGGGAAGGCCCUUGUCGCUAUGCAAACGCAGCUCCUCGCGCAGAGCAACGGCGCCUUCGACAGGUUCAAGAAUGACUACCUUAUGGCCAUGGCGAAGCGGAGAUCUUAUAUCCUGCUCAGGUUCGCAGACGGAUUCACCAGCACGCGCUCGCCGGAGAAGCUCAUGUACGUCCUGGAAAUGUACGAGGUCCUUGGCAGCGCUGUCCCGGGGCUCGUGCUCGUGCUCACCGGGCAGCACAAGGAGCUCUUCUCCCGGCAGGUAGAGGUGGUUCUCGCCAAGCUGGCGCGCGCGCUGAGGGUCAUGAUCGGCGGCGCCGUCACCAAGGUCCGAGCCGGCGUCGGCUCAGGGACGCAGAGCGAGACGCGCGGGGUCGGCGGCGGCGUCCAUCCGCUGACGCGGUACGCCGUGUCCUGCAUCGAGUCGCUAGCACCGCACCGCGGCGCGCUGGAUGUGAUCCUCGCGAGCACGGGCGGCAUCCUCGAGGGCGUGAACUCGUUCGGCGAUCUCUUCUCGGAGCUAGUCGCGUCCCUGGAGCCCAAGCUGGAGGAGAUAUCCGCCCUCCGUGGCGAGGAAGGAGGCGGCCUGCGGCACCUCUUCGUGGCCAACAACACCAGCUUCGUGCUGAAACGCGCCGGCGUGCUCGGGGGAGACGACGAGUGGACCGCGUGCCACCGGAGCCGAGUCGAGCAGCACAUCACGAGCUACAUCGAGGCUUCCUGGGCGCCGGUCGUGGCCUGCCUCGAGGCCGGCAAGCCCGCCACCAAGGCGCUGGCCAAGUUCAACGCCGCGCUCGAGAAAGCAUACAACGGCCACGUACGCUGCGAGGUCUCGGAUCCCGAGCUCAGGGCGGCGCUGCGGAAGGCCGUGUCGGAGAAGGUCGUCGCUGCUUAUGGCGCGUGGCUGAUCGAGCACCCCAAGCUUGGCAAGUCUGCCAGGUACACGCCCGAUAGCCUGGCCGGGUUGGUGUCAGAAUUGUUUGAAGGAGAGGACGCAGCGGCCAGAUAG